UAAAACAUGUAAAAAUAAUUCAUUUUAUUAGACCUACCAUGUUAUUUAAUAUUUUAUAUUUUAUAUAGAGAUAGAUAGAAAGAUAGAUAAGCGUUCGACAAAUCUAUUGAUUGUUAUUGUUGAAAUAUACGAUAUUGUGCAUUUAUUAUUGCGGCAUUAGAUCUACGACAGUAAUUUAAAUAGCUGAGACAAUUCUUGUAAGCGUGUAGCAAUUUUCU